rnacentral:tRNA from 1 species
GGGCCCAUCGUCCAACAGCAGGAUGCCGCCUCCGCACCGCGGAGAUCGGGGUGCGAAUCCCCGUGGGUCCACCA